AAAGUACUGCCUAGAACUAGGUUAUUAUUAGGCAACCAAUAUAUAUUUAGAGCAUGAGUGACUGGUUGAAUGAAUCAAUCAGUCAACUGAAAAAAAGUAACAGCAGAAUUUCUCUUUUCUUUUUUGUUUCAGACAGGGUCUUGGAACUUACUAUGUAGCCCAAGCUGGCCUCUCGAACUCACAGCGAUCCUCCUGGCUUAGCCACUGGAGUGCUAGGAUCACAGGCAUGUGCCACUAUGCCUGGCUUGUAACAACAGUAUUACUAUCACAUUUGAGGAGAAUGAAGAUUGGAGAGAAUUCACACAUAUUUCUCUAUGAAAUUUACCAAACCAUUGAUCUAGUAGAUAUUCUUUGUUUUAAAAAUGGAGUUUCUUAAAGAGAGCUAUACUCCAAUGUUCACCAUAGCAUAAUUCACAGUUACUAAGAAAUGAAAACAACCAAAGUGUCCUUCAACAAAGAAUGGAUAAAGAAAGUGUGGUACAUAUACACAAUGAGAUAUAUUGAGCCAUAAGAAUGAAUGAAAUCUAUCAUUUGUGACAAUGCCAGUGAAACUGGAGGUUAUUAUGGUAAGUGAAAUAACCCAGACAUGUAUACCACAUGAUCUCAUCUAUAUGCAAAAUCUAAAAAUGUUGCUUUCCUACAGUUAAGGAUAUAAUAGUGAUGAUUAGAGGCUUGGGAAAGUAAGAAUGAGGGAGGGCUGAGGAAAAGUCUAUCAACUUACACUGUUACAAUUAGAUGGGAGUAUGUAGUUCUAUGUGAUAUUCCACAGCCUGAUGAAAAUAGAUAAUAAUGAUGUAUUAUCUAUUUCAAAAAUUAAAAAGAAAAGAUUUUGAAAAUUUUCACCAUAAACAGAUGAUUCAUGUUUAAGGAAAUAAAUACGUUCAACCAUAUUUAAAUAUUAUGCAAUCCAUAUGUGUAUCAAAACAUUACAUACUUAUAGUACCCCAUAGGUACAUGCAUUUUUUAUCUCUGUUAAAAGUAUAUUUAAGUUUAAAAAUAAAAAAUCUGUCUUAUAAGGUCAAUCCCUGUGUUUACUAGUUUUCAUCUCUUUUUUUCUUCCAAUAAUCCUAUGAUUGCUACCUCAUUUUUAAACAUCAUCUCUUUCCACUUUUAAUAAACCAUUGCUUUCGGCAACAUUACAGGCUAGAUUUUCCCUUGCUUUAUAAAAUCAUGUUGAUAAUGAUUUUACGCACUAUUUCUUUUGGUAGCUGUUUUAGAAAAGCAUAUACUUCUUUCCUCCAAUUCCUUUCCUUCCAUUUUGUGGAAGCCAUUGUAGUAAUAGCUAUUGUUAAAAUCAAUAAUGAUCUUUACAUUGCCAUGAAUAACAGUAAUUCUAAGUUUUUGUUUCACCUCUUCUAUCAAGAUAAUUUACCUAAUCUUCCUUGCAACUUUAUUUUCCCUCACUCCUUGUGACACUGACUUCCCUUUGAUUUUUCUCUGAAUUCUGUGGUGUGUCUUCUCUGGCCUUUUACUGGCUUCUCAUCCUCUUUGGCCCCUUAAUUUUAGAGUAUAUUAGAAUUAAGCCCCAGGCUAGGAGCUCUUAUCUCUUGUAUGUAUAUUGUAAGCCUCUACUACAUUUUGUACUGUUCAUGGCUUUAGAUACCAUGUGUAUUCUGAAUCCUGUGAAAUAUACCUUCAACCCACAUUUUUCACAAAUCUAUGUCUAAUUGAUGGUGUAAUUUAUUGUUCAAAUUAGAAUACACUUGAAUAUUAUGGGGGAAUUAAUAUUAAGUAUUCUGAGAAAACAUUUGUAAACCACGUCUUACACUGGCUGAACAGUUUUAAUGGUCCCUACAUCUAUACACAAUUGCCUACUCAUCAUACACAUUUGGAUGUUGCAACAAAGAUGAUUGAUUGUCCACCCAAUCCUUUUGCUAUUCUUCUCUAGUGAUAGGAUCCUCUAUUUUUACAUGAGCACAAGACAUUUUAAAACAAAAACUAAAUCCUAACAUUUCUUUUGUGGUUGUAGGUGACAAAGUGCCUUAUUUUGUACAAUAAAAUGUAAGAUAAUUUGGUAUGUGUAACUUCUAAAACCUGGUUUAAAUAUAGAAAAUAGGUCUACCUUGGAUUAUUCUCUUUAUUUUUUUUUUCUGGCUAGAGUAUAAAUGGACUCAUGUAGAACCUUUAAAUUGCAGCCACAUUUUAAGGAGAUGUUACAAAGAUAGAAGGGAUUUGGAUAUUAAAAUUGCUGACUCAACAAAACACUCCCUGAACUUCCUGUGUUUAUGUGAAAGAUAAGUAACACUUAUGUUGUUAUAGCCAAUGUUAAUUUACUAUUGAUUAAAAUUAAACUUAGCUCAUACAGAUGAGGGUUUCUACCAUUUAUCUAUUCAACAAAUAAUUAUUCAGCAGUUAUUUCUGUUGUGGGCAUUUGGGAUAUACUAAUGAACAGAAAAUGGGUCUUCUCAGAGGAUCCAUGCUAGAGGAUAUAGUCUUAAAAUAAUGUCAAAAGGAAAGUUAACAUAUUAAAUAACAAAUAAUUUAAAACAUUAGAAUGAUAAAGCAUAAGGGGGAAAAGAAGAUAGUGCCAGAGGGGAUUAGAAAAUCUGGUAAUUGGGGAAACUUGAUAGUCUAAAUGAGGUCAUCUCUUAAAUAUGAGAGACCUUAGGCAAGCGACUUUGAACAAGUAGUUGAACAAGGUGGGUAGUUUACCUGUGAACAUAUUGGAGGAUGGCCAUUCUGUGCAAAGAGAAUAAUCAUAGAGACCCUAAAUGAGGAAUGUGCUUGUCUAGGGAGACAUGAGCUAGUUCAGCUGGAAUCGAGUGAGUAAAUUAAUCUGAAAAGUGCAGUUUAUGAAGUUGUGAAGAUUCAGAUUUCACAGGGACUGUUGACCAGAGAGAGGAUAUGAUUUUCCUUUGAAAAAGAUAGAGAGGUAUUGAAGGAUUCUCUAUUGAAACAUGAUGUGACUUAGAUUUUAAGAAGUUUACCAUCUCUAGUAUGAGAAUAUGCUGUAAGGGUAUCAAGUGUAGACAAGAAUAGAAGCAAGGGCAGCAUUUUAUAGCUUUUUACAAAUAUCAGGAUGAGGAUAAUGAUUGUUAACUCAAAACAUCCUGAGUAAAGUGCUUGAUUUCUCAUCUACCACUGGUCACCUCCCCAAAUGCUUCUUUUUGCAGGCUUCCAUAUCUCAAUAAAUAAUAACUUAUUUUUUCCAAGCUUAAAACUACAAAACCACCUAGAAUCAUUCAGAGAUGAAAGCAGAGACCUUAUCAAUAUGUAGCUUUUUAUGAAACUUGCUCCUGCCUUUCUCAGUUGUCUUUGUUCAGUCAUUUUUACAAUUAUGUACAAUAAUGAAAUAUUCUCCCCAAAUUGUUUUAGAUGUUGAAGCUAAUAACACUGAAUUUCCAUCACUAAAAUAUGUUUUGUUACUACAGGUCUUUACAAUUACAUAUAAUUACAAGUUACUACUAUUUGUUAAAUAUAAAUAAAGUACAAUUUCUAUUCAUUGGCCAUUUGUAGCACUUCCUGUGUUUCAUUGCAAUUUAUAGUCAAACGCAAUAGCACUGACUCCUCUUUGCUCUUCAAGUAAAAAAAAAUUCAUCAAUACUUUUAUUUCAUUACUUAACUAAUUCUUCAAGUAAGAGUCAUAAAGUGAGGAAAAUGAGGAGUUUUGCAUUACACAUUGUCAUUGUUUCUGAACUGCAUUAAAGUCCUGGCCUGAAGUAUAUGUGUUAAUGAAUUGAAAGUCUAAAUUAAAUAAUCGCGAGUACACGAAUCAUAAUUUUCCAUCAAGUGAACGAAAGUCAGUACAAACGUUAAAAAUUUCAUUACAUUUUCUUGAACUUUAACCUCUGAUAUCACAAAAGAAGGCUUGAGUUUAAAAGGAAUAUAUAAGAUUUUGUUUUGAAAUAGUUAAAAAGUUCUGACCAAGACAGCUAUAUUAAUAUCUACAGAGACUACAAAGAAAACAUGUUAUGUUCAUUUAAUCACAUACAGAUCAACAUUGAGACAAUGUGAAUGUAUAAAUAAAUGUAAAGAACUCAUUUUACUCUUCACUUGAUGGAUG
ensembl:lncRNA